rnacentral:rRNA from 1 species
GACGAACGCUGGCGGCGUGCUUAACACAUGCAAGUCGAACGGAAAGGCCCUGCUUUUGUGGGGUGCUCGAGUGGCGAACGGGUGAGUAACACGUGAGUAACCUGCCCUUGACUUUGGGAUAACUUCAGGAAACUGGGGCUAAUACCGGAUAGGAGCUCCUGCUGCAUGGUGGGGGUUGGAAAGAUUCGGCGGUUGGGGAUGGACUCGCGGCUUAUCAGCUUGUUGGUGGGGUAGUGGCUUACCAAGGCUUUGACGGGUAGCCGGCCUGAGAGGGUGACCGGCCACAUUGGGACUGAGAUACGGCGCAGACUCCUACGGGAGGCAGCAGUGGGGAAUAUUGCACAAUGGGCGGAAGCCUGAUGCAGCAACGCCGCGUGCGGGAUGACGGCCUUCGAGUUGUAAACCGCUUUCGCCUGUGACGAAGCGUGAGUGACGGUAAUGGGUAAAGAAGCACCGGCUAACUACGUG